AGCUUCGUAGUUCACCUGGUAGAGCGUUUGCCGCGUUGAGGCAUGAUGUUUUUGUUGCUGGUUCAAAUCCAGCCGAAGCUC
rnacentral:tRNA from 1 species